rnacentral:rRNA from 1 species
AGAGUUUGAUCAUGGCUCAGAGCGAACGCUGGCGGCGUACUUAACACAUGCAAGUCGAACGGGGAUCGUCGGUGUAGCAAUACAUCGGCGGUCCUAGUGGCGCACGGGUGAGUAACACGUGGGUAACCUGUCCUUGAGUUCGGGAUACCCUCUCGAAAGGGAGGCUAAUACCGGAUACGUUCCCCGGAUUGCGAAAUUUGGGGGGGAAAGGUGGCGCAAGCUGCCGCUCUUGGAGGGGCUCGCGGCCUAUCAGCUAGUUGGUGAGGUAAUGGCUCACCAAGGCUAUGACGGGUAGCUGGUCUGAGAGGACGACCAGCCACACGGGAACUGAGACACGGUCCCGACUCCUACGGGAGGCAGCAGUGGGGAAUUUUCCGCAAUGGGCGAAAGCCUGACGGAGUGACGCCGCGUGGGGGACGAAGGCCUUCGGGUUGUAAACCCCUGUCAGAGGGAAAGAAGGGUGUCGGCGCGAUAACCGUCGGCACUUGACGGUACCUUCAGAGGAAGCCCCGGCCAACUCUGUGCCAGCAGCCGCGGUAAUAC